rnacentral:siRNA from 1 species
CAAACUUGGAAUGGCGUUUGC